GACGAACGCUGGCGGCGUGCUUAACACAUGCAAGUCGAGCGGAAAGGCCCUUCGGGGUACUCGAGCGGCGAACGGGUGAGUAACACGUGAGUAACCUGCCCUAGGCUUUGGGAUAACCCUCGGAAACGGGGGCUAAUACCGAAUAUUCAUGCGCUGCGGCAUCGUGGUGUGUGGAAAGUUUUUCGGCCUGGGAUGGCUCGCGGCCUAUCAGCUUGUUGGUGGGGUGAUGGCCUACCAAGGCGACGACGGGUAGCCGGCCUGAGAGGGCGACCGGCCACACUGGGACUGAGACACGGCCCAGACUCCUACGGGAGGCAGCAGUGGGGAAGUAUUGCACAAUGGGCGGAAGCCUGAUGCAGCGACGCCGCGUGAGGGAUGAC
rnacentral:rRNA from 1 species